GAAAAGAACUGCAGUUGAAUCUACACUUUGUGGGCUUUGAAGAUUUGUGUUGAAUCUACACUUUGUUGUCCACAAUUACUGGGAGUGUUACUAAUGUUCUUUGCUCAUUCAGAGGUUGGGUGUUUUAAUUCCUGUCCUGGGAUUUUUUUUUGUCCAACAAUUUUCUUUUACAACAAUGACAACAACAACUACUACUACUACUACUACUACUACUACUACUACUACUACUACACCUACUCUUGUUUUUAUGUAUAUUUUAGUACAAAUGCUCUGUCUCCUCCUGUUUGUCAUUUGUAUUGUUAUAUGUGACUAAAUAACGACUGUAAGGACUGAAUUUCAACUGACUUGGCUGCAGUUGCCAAACAGGGGAAGGCACUCUGUGAGGCACCAGACUCUUUCAGCUGAUCGGGGAAGUGCGCCCUGUGAAGCCCUAGACUUUUCGCCAAUCAGGGAAGUGCGCCCUGUGAGGUCCCAGACUUUUCGCCUGUCAGGGAAGUGCGCCCUGUAAGGCACCAGACUUAAGAAUCUGUGGAUCAGGGACGUGAGUCCUUGUGAAGCCUUUACAGUUUGAAAUUGUGGAUCGGGGACGCGAGUCCCUGUGAAGCCUUUACAGUUUGAAAUUGUGGAUCAGGGACGUGAGUCCCUGUGAAGCCUUUACAGUUGAUAUUGUGGAUUGAGGAAGUUGAAAGAAGUCUCUUGAUUUUUUAAGUUAAAUAUCAGCUAUUUGGAUUGCUUCUAUUUAUUGCACAUAAGUGAUAUAUUUGCACAUUGAGAUAUUUCACUAUAAAUAGUAAAUACCUAUAAUACUUCACAGCGUUUGUUUUAAGUAAUAUAAAUUGUUGAGAACCUACCUGUUCAAGAUAUAACAUUUGUUUAAUUUAUUCUGCCAUUAUCCUUUAGUCAUGCACUGAACUGCAAAUAAAAAAUUUAAAUUUGUAAAGUUGUGUACUAUC
ensembl:lncRNA